UACCAGCACCCCGAGUGGUCGGGACGAUUAUUGGGCCUAAAGCAUCCGUAGCCGGUUUUACAAGUCCUCCGUUAAAUCCAACUGCUUAACAGAUGGGCUGCGGAGGAUACUAUAAGACUAGGAGGCGGGAGAGGCAAGCGGUACUUAGUGGGUAGGGGUAAAAUCCGUUGAUCCAUUGAAGACCACCAGUGGCGAAGGCGGCUUGCCAGAACGCACUCGACGUGAGGGAUGAAAGCUGGGGAGCAACCGG
rnacentral:rRNA from 1 species